CAGCAGCCGCGGGAAUACGAAGGGUGCAAGCGUUAAUCGGAAUUACUGGGCGUAAAGCGCGCGUAGGUGGUUUGGUAAGAUGGAUGUGAAAUCCCCGGGCUCAACCUGGGAACUGCAUCCAUAACUGCCUGACUAGAGUACGGUAGAGGGUGGUGGAAUUUCCUGUGUAGCGGUGAAAUGCGUAGAUAUAGGAAGGAACACCAGUGGCGAAGGCGACCACCUGGACUGAUACUGACACUGAGGUGCGAAAGCGUGGGGAGCAAACAGGAUUAGAUACCCGUGUAGUCCAUGUCUCUUAUAC
rnacentral:rRNA from 1 species